rnacentral:lncRNA from 1 species
AUAAUAGGAUGUAAGUGGAGGUGUGCAAAUGUAUUUACAAGUGUUUGUGUGCAAGUGAAGGGAUAAAAAGGUGCAUGUGUGCAAAUGACAAAAGUGAAAGUGUGCAAGUGAAGGGAUAAAAGGUGUACGUGUGCAAAUGGGAGGAAAAGUGAAAGUGUAAUGAUGGAGUGGAUUUAGAAUGCAUGGGCCUAGGGAAUGCAUGCAUAUUGGGUACGGGGAGACCUAAAUCGUGACUCAAUUUACCCUUUUAUAGAGGGAAUACAAGCGUGCUAAGGCUUAGAAAAAGCCACACUCGUCUAUAUCCCAUAUUUAAGGGGACUCUCAAGCAAAUGAACCCUAUAACUAGAAUGAAAUGCAAAAAUCCUAAAAUGAAAGGAAAAGGGGUUCGAGGGGCAUGCCAAAUGAUAAACUAAGAAAAAUGCAUGACAUGUAAUGAUCACGCAAAUAUGUACUAACGAAGGGAAAUCCCUAAGGGUCUAGCGUUGGACUAGCCCAUUCUAUGAAUUCCUACUAGCAUUGGACUAGCGGAAACGUACAUUCAUCCAUCACAUUCAUUCAAGGAUAUGGAAAGCGAGUAGACAUGUCAAUCACAUAGCACAUAACACUUAGCAUGCAUAUCUAAAUGCCAAAACCUAAGAAAACGAUUAAACAUAUAGCACAUAGACAUGCAUGACACAUAAGGUGAUUAAGGCCCUAACUAUUACAUUUGCUAGCUAGGCACAAGUCUUCAACAGCUCUUCAUCGAAUGCUCCUCCAAACCCUAUCUAUUACAAGCCAAGAGGUGUACACAUACCCCAUAAAGAAUAACUUAAAUAAAAAGCAAAAGUAAAUGACAUAAAUAAAAGAAAUUAAAGAAAGGCUAGGAAAGCAAAGUAGACAUGUAUAUCUCACGUAGCACGUUGGUUCACAUAGGAGAGACACAAAAAGGGAUAAAAGAAAAUAUACCACCCUUGAAAGGAAGCUCUAAUGGAGUGAAAUCAACUUAUUUAUCCUCCAAAAUAAAAGAAAUGGUCAAGGUACCAAUUUAUUUGGCAAAUAAUCACAAAGGAUAAAAAAUAAACAUGAAUUUGAAUCAAUUAAAUCAUGUCAACAACCCACAUUUAAGAAGUCAAAAGAAGAAAGGACUUGAUUGCACAAAUUAACAAAGUUUGGAGGUUAAAAUUAAAGAAAAAUAAAGUUCAGGGACCUAUUUGCAAUUAAAUUAAGGACCGAAUUGAAAGAAGUUAAAAAUGUCUAGGGCCACAGUACAGUUAAAGAGAAAUUCAGGGACUGAUUUGCAAAUGCAUUUUUCUAGUUUCUUAGUGGAUCAGGCCACUUGGGCCAUUUUAUCUAUUUUUGGGCCAAAGAUCCCUUCAGCCUGCCGCAAAGCCCAGAGGCUACAUAUGGGCUGGCUUCUACUUAUCAAUCAAACAAACCCAACCAAAAGAGUGCCAGAAACCCAAACAAAACAAAUUAAAUCCACUUUUACAAAUCCAAACAAAUAUUAUUGCCCACAACCUAAAUCCAAACUAAACCCAACAAGAUUAGCAAAUCAACUAAAAUUAUUAAGCCACAAUUAUGACCUAAAAUCAAGAAUUAAUCUAUUCAAAAAGUCACAUAAAAUAUGCAAACAAAAGAUUAAACUUAAGAGGGUAACGUUAGUUUCAAUUUUCCAGAUUUUGGGCCAUAUCAGAAUAAGGGGGGAACUUAGGGAAUCCAAAGUGCAAUUUCCAGAGAGUUACAAUUUUUACAGCCAAACAAUCUUUCUGCAACGUCACAACUUUCUUGCUGCAGUUUUCUUAGGCAAUCUUAUCAUACAAACAAAAUCACUAAAAACCCAAGGUUUUGACUAUGCAAGCACCAACUAAAUCAAACACAAAAAUUUUGUUGCGGUACUCAGGCAAGAAACUUGAAUUGACCGACAGAAGUGCAGCAGAAAAAUUCUCUGCAACUUUUCUCAUGCUUUUGAGCUUCAACAAUUUCGCGUGGCAGAUUUACAAACCUCCCAAACCAAAACCCAAGCCCAAACUAUUACCAAUCAUUGUUUCAAUAUUCUAUCAUACAUGCGAGAGGAUGGCAGAACCAAGAAUAAAUUGAGUGCCAUAGCUUGGGCAGCAACUACAACAAAGCACGGCACCCUGGAGGAGCUAAAGGUUUUAAGGAGAAAUUUUAGUCGGGCAUUUUAUCAAACGGGUUAGGGGCAUCAGAAGAUUUCGCCAAUUCCUUGCUCAAUUGAAGUUAAUCAAUCCCCAAAAUUUAUCAGAGAACACAGAUUGCAUUCCAAUCAACCAUGAAAACACAUACGAUCAGAAAAUUAUAGACAAUCCCCAGGAAAAUGGCAAUAACAAAUUCACAAGAGACAUGCCUGGGAUUUCCAGCGUUUGCAAGUGCUCUUGUUUCGGUGAAAAUCUGCAGGCAAUGACGGCGGAAUCGGUGAGGUGGUCGCGGCUAUGAGCGGCGACGGAUCCAGCAGCGCUUCAAAUGAGCAGACCUUGCUCUGUUUCAUUACAGCUCUUCCUUCUCCUCUGUUUUCUUUCUCUUUUUUUUUUCAGUUUCUUUUUCUGCUCUUCGCUUAGCCCAAAACCUUUAGUUUCUUUGCAGCCCCCUUUUCUCAGCUCUCCCCGUAGCUUCAACCUCUGGUUUUUUCUUCCUCCGCCGCCACAGAUUUUCAGAUUUCUUCUUGCGCUCUGUUUUUUCUCUCUCGGUCUCCCCCAACCGCCAUAAGCCUCCCCUGCUGUUUUCUUUUCUAUCCUCUGUUUUUGCUCAGCCGAAAAACCCCUCUCGGCCUUUCUCUUCUGUUUUCGGUCCCUCUCAAAGCUGUCCCGGUUAAUCCUUCUUGCGUUUUUUCGAUUCCUCUGUUCUCCGCCGAAAACCUUCCCCAUUUUCUUGCUCUCUAUUCUUUCUCUUUUCCUCUUUUCCCGCUGCUCUGUUUUUUUCUUGUUUUUUCUUGGCUCUGCAGCCGCUUGCGGCUCUCUAUUUUUUUUCUGUUCUGCUUCCCGAAGCCUUUACUUUUUUUCUGUUUUUUUUUUCAUUUUCCUGUUUUUUCCGUAACCUCCCUAGCCGGCCAUCCCCAAUCCUUUUCCCCUUUUUUUUUUUUUUUUAAUUCCUUUCUUCUAAGUGACUAAGCACUUUGCCACCUAUGUGAUGUGUUGUUAAAAAACUAAAAGUGACAUUUGCCUCCAUGCAUGCCUAUCCACUUGUCAUUUUUUCCUUUUUUUCCUUUUUCCUCUUUUCCCUUUUUCCUUUUGUUUUUCCAUUUUCAUCAUUUUUCAUUUUCAUUCAUUUUUCCUUUUUUUUUCAAUAUUGAAUUUUGAGUCAAAAAUAAUUAAAGCAUGUUCUUUUUGAAUUUUCCUCAUUUUCCCAAGAAAUUUGAUGCUAAAACAAAAAACUAAAAAUAAAAAAGUGAAUAAAACUAAAACAACAAAUAAAAAACUAAAAAAACAGUAAAUGAAAUUACACCAAAAAUUUGGUGUCUACAGUUUGCCUCUCUUUGUCUGAGUUUUGAAAAAACUUGAGACAAAGAAGUAGACACCAAAUACUUACCUGUGUUAUUCGGCUGCGAACGAUCCGGACGACGGACGCUUCUGAAACGAAGACUGACCUCUUUUAAAUUUUUUUUUUUUUGAAUGAAAACUUUAAAAUGGGAUUGAUCCAGACGGGAAAUUUAAAACGGGACUGGCCCGAACAGGAAUUUAAAACGAGAUAGACCCGAACAUGAAAUCUAAAACGGGAUAGACCCGGACAGAAAUUUAAAUGGGAUAGACCCACGGGAUAGACCCGGACAGAAAUGUAAAUGGGAUAGACCCAAACAGAAAAUUUAAAACGGGAUAGACCCGGACAGAAAUUUAAAACGGGAUAGACCCGGACAGAAAUUUAAAUGGGAUAGACCCGGACAGAAAUGUAAAUGGGAUAGACCCAAACAGAAAAUUUAAAACGGGAUAGACCCGGACAGAAAAUGCAAACGGGAUAGACCUGAACAGGAAACUUAAAACGGGAUAGACCCGAGCCUGCAAUGAUGAACAUGAUUUGAUUUUUGACUUUGAUUUUUUUUUAUUUUUGAUUUUGAUUUUUUUAUUUUUAUUUUGAUUUUGACUUUUUGAUUUUUUUUUUUUUUUUUUUUUGACUGAGAGAGACUUGUCGAAAUAACUUGCCCCAGUAUAAUGAAUUGGCCAGUGGGAUUAAACCCGAGCCUGCCAAGGUUGGCGGGAUAAAAUCCGGUCCCAACGAAAUAAGCGGUCAGCGGGAUAAAACCCGGUCCUGCCGAGGAAAUUGGCGGGAUGAAACCCGGUCCCAAUGCGAUAAACGGUCAGCGGGAUUAGACUCGGUCCUGCCGAGGUAAGCGGUCAGCGGGAUAAAACCCGGUCCUGCCGAAAUAAGCGGUCAGCGGGAUAAAACCCGGUCCUGCCGUAAUAAGCGGAUAAAACCCGGUCCUGCCGUAAUAAGCGGUCAGCGGGAUAAAACCCGGUCCUGCCGUAAUAAGCGGUCAGCGGGAUAGAACCCGGUCCUGCCAUUCAUUGGCGGGAUGAAACCUGGUCCCAAUUUGAUAAAAGCGGUCAGCGGGAUUAUACCCGGUCCUGCCGUGAUUGGCGGGAUGAAACCCGAUCCCAAUUUGAUAAAAGCGGUCAGCGGGAUUAAACCCGGUCCUGCCGUGAUUGGCGGGAUGAAACCCGGUCCCAAUUUGACAAAAGCGGUCAGCGGGAUUAUACCCGGUCCUGCCAUAAAAGCGGUCAGCGGGAUUAUACCCGGUCCUGCCGUGAUUGGCGGGAUGAAACCCGGUCCCAAUUUGAUAAAAGCGGUCAGCGGGAUUAUACCCGGUCCUGCCGUGAUUGGCGGGAUGAAACCCGGUCCCAAUUUGAUAAAAGCGGUCAGCGGGAUUAAACCCGGUCCUGCCGAGGUAAGCUUGAUUUGAUUUUGAUUUUGACUCUUUUCUUUUUUUUCCUGAUUUUUCUGAUUUUUUUGUAAGAAUCUUUUCAAAAAUAAUUUGCCCCAGUGUAGGGCCCUUUUCCCUUCUUUUUCUCUUUCUUCGGCAUCGGCCUUCCACGUCACCAGAUGCUCUUUCGUCGAUUUCAACAAUGGAUACCGGCACAGGGGCUUACCGAAAUAUGACAUGCAUUCACAUUUACAUGAAAAGAGCAGCGUGAUGGAUUUGAAAGAUGCAUUAUUUGAUUCUUGGACGAAAUUCUCAAUUGGACUAACAAAAAUAUUUGCCCCUGUGUGGGCUUGUUUUCACGAAAUCUCAUAACAAAAAUUUGCCCCAGUAUGGGCCAUUUAAUUGCCAAACUUGUUUGGAUGACUUUUCAUUUACUGAACAUAGUAAGAAACUAUGUUUCCAAAAAGAAAAAUUUCAUGAUGAAUUUCUUGAAAUAAAACCAAAUCACAGAGGAUUUCUUCCUCAUUUUUAGCAUCUGUGCUUUGGGUAAUGGGUCACCAUUUCCAAUUGGCUCAUCUUUUCGGGACCAAUCAAGUGACUGUAUUUUUGAAAUGGCUAAGGAAAUGGGAAGUCAGAAUUUGUCUCAUUUUUGUGCCCCAGUUGUAUGUAAUCCAUCAAAUGUCACAUCUUAGUGAAAGCAAAUAGUUUGUCACCCUCAUUUCUUAAGAAAACGUAGUCAACAUGCAAGCUUCUAGGCUUGUAACGUAUGGACAGAAGUGAUAGCUAAACAUGUGGAAAAGGGUUAUACCCUUAUGAUCACAAAUGAUUUGAUGAAUUUCUUAUGAGCAUGAUCCUCCCUUUGGAUUGUCAUGAAGGCAUAAGUCAACGAUGGACUUUGUUAGCUUGUAAUGUGGCUUGAAAGCGAUAGCUAAAGAAUAAAACUUUCAAGGACAUAGCUCCGAAGAUUGCAUUGCCCCUAUUUUGAACUCGAAGAUUCUGAACUUUGUUUGGAUUUUCUUAUCAUUCCCCAGGGACCUCAGCGUCGAAUUUUUCUGCAUUUUUCUUGCAUUUACUUUCCUUGCUUUGCUUUUUGUCUUUUUUCCUUUCCCUCAACUUGGUGGAUUUUCAUAUGGUGAGUAGCGCCAACCCCAUACCCAAACAAUUCAGAAAUACAGCUAAAAUUUUUGGCAUCAGAAAUUUUCUUGACAGGGCCAUUGCAAAGAACAGAAGUCAGGAUUUUUCAGCUUUUGUAAUGAGGUCAGGUGGGGUGUUUUAGAAAAGUUGAGGCUUGAAGGCAGAUUUUAAAAAGGUUUGAAGAAUCUGAGAUCGCAUUGUUGCGCCAACCCUAUUUUAGGGUUAAAUCAGAAUUUGCCCCAGUUUAUGCUCAAUUGAGGCUUUUUCUCUUUCAUUUUCUUUUGAUUUUUCGGCCUUUUGCCAUUUUUUCAAAAAUUUGCCCUAGUUUAUUUUUGAACUGAGGUUCUCUUUCCUUCUUUUGCUUUUGAUUUUGUGACUUUUCACUUUUUCACUUCUUGAAUUUUCCCUUUUCAACUCAAAACUGCCCCCAGUGUGGGGUUUGCGAUUCUCAGGGGUUGCCAAAUGAAGUAUUUUAUUCUGAAGGCUCAAAAGGGAUAAGUAGGGAUAGAAUGUCCGAUUGGAAAAGAAGAGGGCCUGACUUUUAUUCCGUUCCUUACAAUAACUCUGAAAGGAAACUUUCAUUAAUGCGAAAUUUUUGGCGUGUAUCUGAAUUAAUUGACUGAGGAAGACUCUUGGUCAACCAUAUCUGUGAAACAUAGAGGAUCCGCCAGACAACUUUUCUUUCUUUUCUUUUCACUCUUCUUUUCUCACAAUUGAAGCUCAGGUAGAAUCAAAUUUCCCCAAUUUGCGGUUCCCCCUUUUUAGUUUUAGCAUUUUUUGCUUUUCUUUUUUUUUGGAAAAAUCUCCAAUCUCCCUCCCCAAUGUGGGGUGCGAUCAUAGGUGCUUUGAAAAGAACCACCGAUUUAGCUCAAAUGAGAAUGCAAGGGGUAAAUUGUGUUUAGAUUGUAGAAACGACGGCUAAAGCAUCAUUCUUACGCUCCAUGACAAUUAAGGUGACGAAACGCUCAUUGAGAAUCCAUUCCCCUUUUGAUAUUUGAAAAUUUUCCAUGUAGGGUAGUGAUCAUCAAGGCGCUUAUUUGAAACGAAAUUAUUCUUUUAAAGGCUCAAACGGGAGAGCAAAUGAUAAACUCUGUAUAGAUAGAGAAAAGACUGCUCAAAGUAUCAUUCCAACUUUUCAAAACAAAUAAAAAUAAUGCACAUUUUUGCUUUCACUUAGAUGUGAAUUGAAUCGGUUAAACACAAUGGAUAUUUUUAAGCAAAGAUUGCCCCAAUUUAUGAUUUAUCAAUCAAUGUGACUGAUUUUAUUUUGGGGUUAAAUGAAGGAGAAAAGGUAUCUCAUUGGGCCUUUCGAGUGACCUCUUACUUUUUCCUGAGCACUCUUAUUGUAUAACUCGGAUCACCAAUCGAGUGUAAGGAUCUUAGGAAGCAUUCACUUGUGAAUUUUCAGGCUGGAGAUUAAAAAUAUCUCAAUUUGGUCUUUUUUCUCAAAAUUCAUCAUGAAAUCUCCAAUGAGUAAGAAUAAAGAAUGAAAUGUACAUAAAUAUACACAAAACAAUAAUUGUCCAAAAACUUUAUUGCUGAAAAACAAUUUGAAACAAAAUUUCUCGUUCAAUUAUGAUACAAAUGAGAAGAGAAUUUAUUGUUUCCUUUUCUUUUGGAACAAAAUUUAACAAAUCAAAUAGACAGAACAAUUACGACAUCUCUCAGAGCCUUUAGCGUAGAGCUUCCAGAUGGAUCAUUUAUGUUUUAAUCGUAGGAUCUGCCCAAGAAUCAAAUAACACUUGUAAUCUUCAAACUUUAUGGGAUUAAAAUUAGCAUCAGAUAUAGAAGAAUAUUUUCGUCUUAUUGAAACAUUUUUAUGAAUGCAGGGGAGGGGGAAAACAAAAGAAAAAUACCCAGAGUUAGUAGGCAAAACUGCAAAAUCGGUAUGCAUGUCCUAUGGGGGAACUCUUUUUGUGCCAAGGGUAGGCCUAGCAUGAAAAUGCAAUCCGCUAGAGUAGGCACUAUACAAUACCUGAUGGAUCUGAUCAAUUCAUUGAGUGAAAAAAUAAUUUUGAAGAAUUUGGUCAAUUGGAGAGACGAAAGACACUUUGUCAAAAAGAGGACCUCGUCCGAAGGGAUUGAUCACUUUUGAUCGAUAUUUGCAAAAACGCACGGGUUUGACCUUGACGAACUUCCUAUCGAAGAGAUUGGAAUUCCUUGAUAAAAUUUUCUCAGUGAAGCACGGGUCAAAAUUCCAACUGAUCAAAUGUCUGGAUGCAAUGAAUGGUUUUCUCAAAACCGACUAGGUUUCCAAAUUGAAAUUCGUCAUUGAAACCCUACUUGGUCAAAUGGGUUGAACGAAAUUGACAAUUUUAUUUAAAAUCGACCGCAUUACCUUAAAAAGGGAAUCGGGUCAAAUGAAUUGAGUGAAAUUUAAAAACUUACUCAAAAUUGACCGAAUCAUUCUAAAAAAGGGAUUUGGUCAAAUGAAAUCGAGAAUUUAUUCAAAAUUGACCGGAUCGCCCUAAAAGGGUAAACUGGUCAAACGAAUCGGACGAAAUUAAUGAUUUACUCGAAAUCGAUAAGAUCGCCCUAAGAAUGGAAAAAUUGGUGAUUUAUUCAGAAAAUCGACUAGAUUGCCCUAAAAAUGGGUGAAUUGGCCAAAUGAAAUGAAAUGAAGAUUUAUUCAUAAAUCGACCAGAUGACCCUAAAAAGGGUAAAUUGGUCAAAUGACCCUAAAAAGCGUAAAUUGGUCAAAUGAAUUGACGAUUUAUUCAAAAUCGACCAGGUGACCCUAAAAAGGGUAAAUUGUCAAAUGAAUGGAUGAUUUUUUCAAAAAUGCAUGACCUAAAAAGGGUAAAAAUGAAUUGAUGAUUUAUUCAAAAAUCGACCAGGUGACCUAAAAAGGGUAAAUUGAUCAAAUGAAUUGACGAUUUAUUCAAAAUUGCUUAUAAUUUGACAAAAUGGAUCGAUUGAAUCGGCCGGCCAUUGGUGGUUUCAGAAAAUUAGUCUAUGAGCCUUCUACAAUCACGAUUUGGCCUCAAUUUAUUCAUCGUCUCAACAAGAGGAAUCAUUUGUGAAUUUCUUCAAAUUAAUGUCCUUUUACGCAAGGGAUUUUACCAACUUUGAUAAAAUGGCCAAAAAGUGAUUAUUAGACGUGCUCAUAUUCCAAAGAUCACUCUAUGAAAAUGAUCGGAUCCUACCUUACCUUGUGCACUACCCCUUUGGAUGGUAUAAAAUGUAAACGUGCAAGUCUCACUGGAUUAAGUAUCCGAGACACAAAAGUGGCUUAUUCCUAAUGCGGGAUCCCCUAAAUGGCAUUCCCUUUCUAGGGUUAUGCAUGAUGCCAUUUAUUAAAGCGGUAAAAUGUGCAAUUCGAAAUGAAACGUGACCUAAAAGAACCUUUUAUACACCAAGGUGGGCUUAGAAUGCUAUGCAAUUAUUAAUCUAUGAAUGCAAUAUACCAAAAUCUUUAAACGUGCAAUAACCUAUCUACGAGGGUAGGUUCCUAAAAAAAAGUCAUGCCAGACCUCUUAUUUGCUAGGGUUGUGAAUGCAAAAAACAAGAAACAAGAAAAGUUAGUUCCACAUUUAAUCACAUAACACGUUGGACAAUUAAAUGAUAAAAAACAGGAAAAGUAAAUAAGGAAAAGGAUGGGAUCCCUCCCCUCGUGAAUGGUGUCCCUAAUAGGGUAAGGCAGACUCUACCCUAGGUGAACUAUAUGGAUGCAUGAGGUUGGGGUUCACUAAUGAAUCUAACUCGAUAAGCUCAAGUCCCCAAGCCUUCAGACUUAGGGCCAAGGGUCAUCAAUUCCAUGGCCCUUUGUCGGUGGCUCGAGCGAUUCCCCAAACACCGCUACGCACACGUCGUGUCACGGCCGCAUGUUUGAGUGAAUCUGUAAAAAACCUCAACCUUCGACUAAAAACUAAGGAUAUUAACCCAAAGUUUAAAGCGGAAGAGUGAGUGACCCAUUGGAUCGUGCUACGCACACGUCGUGUCACGAUCACACGUCCAAGUGGGUCUCCUAAUCCUAAUAGGGUGGAGUGGCGUGACAAGCCACUAAAAAGAAAAAUAAAGGGGGAUGAAUAGUAAAGCGUAUGCACGUAUGAUAGUGCACAUUUUGGAGGGGAGGGAUCAAGAACCAACGCGAGGCUCUAAGGUAGAAUCCCCUCCCAAAUGCAAUGCAAAGCGCGGAAUCACAUACAAACAUCCAUUCAUCAAAACAAUCGUAGGCGAACGUGUGAGGAAGUGAAUUGAUACGCGAAAUGCAAAAAAUCCUAGAAAAGGGAAAAAUGCAACCCUAAACAUCCAAUGUAAUAAAUAAAAAGGUUUAAAAGAAGAAAAAGAUUGAUUAAAUCAAAUUUGCUCGGACUCUCGAAUGUCCCCAGUGGAGUAGCCAACUGUCGCGCCCCAUUUUUUUGAUAAAUAAAUAAAAUGGUUUGAAAAUGUGUUUUUUUGAUUCAAUUUGUGAUUUGAAAAAUGAAUUGUGAUUUAAAAGAAAGAUGGGUCUAAAUGGGACUUUUGAAAAUGCGACGAUUUGACCCAAGAAAAAUAGUUCAAAAAGGGUUUUUUAUAUGAAAAAUGGAGUCGCCACUUGGUAUAGAGUUAGGGUGUACCAAGUCACCCAAAAAAUGAAUUUUUAAGAAAAAUAGGAAAAAGUAGUAAAAAAAACCCCUUUUAAACGACUCCUAGUCCACGCAAACAAAGAAAAAGGUUUGGGAGUCACAUUUGACGAAGGGGAAGGCAAGGAUAAAAAUCCAAGGCACCCCUUCGACCUAGCCAAGGCUAGUUGCGUUGAUUUAAUCAAAGAUUUUCUUGUUUUAACCAAAGAAUUUAUUACAUUUGGAUGCACUACAUGAAUGCCAACCCUAGACCUAGAGGUAUUGGGGGAAAUUUCUCUUCAAAGGUUAGGUGGUGCCAAUCACAUUAAUUGUGAAACCCAAUAACGAUCCUUUGAAGAAGUCACGAAUAAUGCGAGUGGGAUGCAAAUGAAUGGAAUGCAUGUAUGCAAUGUGAAGGUAUGUGAAGUGAGAAAAAUAAUAAAAAUAAUAGGAUGUAAGUGGAGGUGUGCAAAUGUAUUUACAAGUGUUUGUGUGCAAGCGAAGGGAUAAAAAGGUGCAUGUGUGCAAAUGACAAAAGUGAAAGUGUGCAAGUGAAGGGAUAAAAGGUGUACGUGUGCAAAUGGGAGGAAAAGUGAAAGUGUAAUGAUGGAGUGGAUUUAGAAUGCAUGGGUCUAGGGAAUGCAUGCAUAUUGGGUACGGGGAGACCUAAAUCGUGACUCAAUUUACCCUUUUGUAGAGGGAAUACAAGCGUGCUAAGGCUUAGAAAAAGCCACACUCGUCUAUAUCCCAUAUUUAAGGGGACUCU